UACGUAGGGUGCAAGCGUUGUCCGGGAUUAUUGGGCGUAAAGAGCUCGUAGGCGGUCUGUCGCGUCGGCUGUGAAAACCCGAGGCUCAACCUCGGGCCUGCAGUCGAUACGGGCAAACUAGAGUACUGCAGGGGAGACUGGAAUUCCUGGUGUAGCGGUGAAAUGCGCAGAUAUCAGGAGGAACACCGGUGGCGAAGGCGGGUCUCUGGGCAGUAACUGACGCUGAGGAGCGAAAGCGUGGGGAGCGAACAGG
rnacentral:rRNA from 1 species